CUGAAAACAUGACCACUUACUGUCAAGCUGCUUAAAGGACAAAAAUGUUUCAUAAAAGUGGUCCAUACGACAUGUGCAUUAUAUUCAAGGUCCGACGUUUUUUGGAAGGCCAUGAGGCACAGUGGAGCAGAACUGGAACAAAGCCUUUUUGUGCUAAGAAACUUCUUGAACAUCCAUUAUUAAAUGGCACGAGAGGGCCAUGGGUCUCAAUCUGCUCAGAGGAGACCAUCGAGACAUGCAAGACCACGUUUGAUCAUGAAAGAGAAGCUUCCAGAGAAAUCCAUACUGGAUGUACAGGGCACAAGGUUACAAGAUUAGAGAAACACUGGAAGACCCGUGGCUGUGGUGGAAAAAGACCAUGGAUGCAGGUGACACAGAGGACGAGGGGAAGUAACAACUGCAUGCUCGUCCCAAGCAACCAAACCCAAUGCGCUCCUGACCUCCCCAUGACUGCUGAGGAGACACCCAGACCAGCCCACCUGCAAAGAUAAGUUCAAUAAUACAUGGGGAGAAGUUUGAUUUCGUCUGGAAGAACUCUUGCUUCGUGCUCCAGGGAGAACAGACAGCCUUCUCUGACCAGGACUCUCUUGGAAAAUAAGAAUACAUGCUGUUCAUAAUUAUAUAUUAAUGAUAUGUUUGUUUUGUAGCAGAGAGAGUGCAGAAGGACAAAGAACAGAGUAAGAAUAGCGCAGUCUCAAUGCUCAUGUCUUAUACAUGAAUCAUGUGAAA